rnacentral:rRNA from 1 species
ACUGCAGCCAUGCCGCGUGUAGGAAGACUGCCCUAUCGGGUUGUAAACUGCGUUUAUACAGGAAGAACAGUCGUACGAGUACGACCUUGACGGUACUGUAAGAAUAAGCACCGGCUAACUCCGUGCCAGCAGCCGCGGUAAUACGGAGGGUGCAAGCGUUAUCCGGAAUCAUUGGGUUUAAAGGGGUCCGCAGGCGGUCAAUUAAGUCAGAGGUGAAAUCCCCAUAGCUUAACUAUGGAACUGCCUUUGAUACUGGUUGACUUGAGUUAUACGGAAGUAGAUAGAAUAAGUAGUGUAGCGGUGAAAUGCAUAGAUAUUACUUAGAAUACCGAUUGCGAAGGCAGUCUACUACGUAUAUACUGACGCUCAUGGACGAAAGCGUGGGGACGCGAACAGGAUUAGAUACCCUGGUAG